UAAAGUGAAUUUACUCGUUUACACUGAGAUUUACCUUAUUAGGCGCUUUAU
rnacentral:tRNA from 1 species